GUUGUUAACUUGAUAACUGAAUCACAGUGUCAAGCUACAAAUAAGGAGGAAGUCUUCAAAAUUCUAAAUGAAAGAUCCCUUUAUCCUAUAGGAUGGAUUCAUGUAUGUCUUCCUAUCUUUGGAAGGGUUUGUGACUGUCUUUAUCUCUAUAGGAGUAGGAUUUGGUGUGAUUGAUUACAACUUGUCAUCUAUAUUGAACUCGUCAUCUAUACUGAAAGACUAACCCGUGCAUUAGAAAUUUUGAAGAAGUUAAUUGUAGACUCCAGUGGACACUUUAUUUUCGUUAACGGCUCAGAUGUCUCUCCAUUUCAAUGGUCUAAUGAGCAUUCCUUUUUUGUUACUAUUAUUCUAUUACACAUUACUAUUAAAACUUGGUGUUGACAAAGUUGAAAAUAUUGUUCUAAAGGCAUCCUUUUUCUAGAAUUCACAGCAUAAUCAAAGAACCCUGCAAUCAUUUGUGAGGGAAAAUUCCUAUAGAGGAAGAAUUACCACUCUAACAUACCUAGACGAUAAUGAAGGCGGGGAGUGAAAGUGCUGGUACUGCCUGCCUCACCUUUUCAGAUCCAAAGGUCACUGCAUAUAAUAAAGGGGAGAUGCUGGUUUCUCAAGUCAAAUUUGCAUUUAUAUCAGGAUUAGCAAUAACCAUUUUAUUAAUACCAGGUAGAAAUAUCACUUAGAUUUUUUAAAUUACUGUUUGGUGACAUGUUCCAAGUUCAACUUAAACAUUUCCUCGGUGUUAUAAUUUGGUCAGAUAUAAUUGUUCUCUCUCAUUCAUUUGGACCAACUCAGUUUUGGGAUUGACGCCACAUUGUAAUCUUUAUUUAUUAUUGUAGGUAGAAGAUGUCGAAUAUCUGUUUUGUAAAUUCAGUAUCCAAAAUGGCCUAUAGAUAAUAUAGUACUUAGGGUAACACUUUGAUUUGGUCUUUUUCUUGCAGGAAGCUUAAAAAGUUAACGUAAAACAUGUAGCAUUGGAGAUUGGCAUUUCACCAUAUACAUUAAAUGCAAAUACAAAUGUAACAAGUGGAAUUUGUCAUGCUUUCUGUUUGGAAAAUUAUCAUUCUUAGUAUAAUAUUAGUUUAUUAAUUUUAUGUCCCAAUCCUUUUUCUUGCAUGAAGCUUAUAUGGCCCCUGAUGUCCGACAUAAAAUAGUCAAUUGGAUAAAAGACCAUGUAUAUUCUGGUGCAUUUCAUAAGGGUUUAAAGGUCAAUACCUUCACACUUUCAAUAUGUAUAAUUAAAAUAUAAUGCUUUUUUAAACUUUCUUUUUCUUUAUAUUCUUCUACUGUUUUGUUUUACUACUCUGACCCUUUUGCAUAUAUAGAAUCAACAUUCGGUGCUUUUUUAUAAUUUUAUUUCU